GCCCGGGUGGUGAAAUCGGUAGACACUGGGGACUUAAAAUCCCCUGGGGGCAACCCCGUGCGGGUUCGAGUCCCGCCCCGGGUA
rnacentral:tRNA from 1 species